rnacentral:rRNA from 2 species
ACGGGAGGCAGCAGUGGGGAAUAUUGCACAAUGGGGGAAACCCUGAUGCAGCAACGCCGCGUGAAGGAUGAAGGUUUUCGGAUCGUAAACUUAUGUCUUCAGGGACGAUAAUGACGGUACCUGAGGAGGAAGCCACGGCUAACUACGUGCCAGCAGCCGCGGUAAUACGUAGGUGGCAAGCGUUAUCCGGAUUUACUGGGUGUAAAGGGCGUGUAGGCGGGUUUCUAAGUUAGAUGUGAAAUACCUCGGCUCAACCGAGGAACUGCAUUUAAAACUGGAAGUCUUGAGUGCCGGAGAGGAAAGCGGAAUUCCUAGUGUAGCGGUGAAAUGCGUAGAUAUUAGGAGGAACACCAGUGGCGAAGGCGGCUUUCUGGACGGUAACUGACGCUGAGGCGCGAAAGCGUGGGGAGCAAACAGGAUUAGAUACCCUGGUA